rnacentral:lncRNA from 1 species
AGUGGGUGUCUUGAGAAAACUAGUGGCAUGGCUACUGUUCGGUAGCUGGUCGAAUGGCAUUUAGAUGGUGGUCUCUCAAGGCUCUUUGGUGGCUUGAGCAAAUGGGUGUGCCAUUCGGUGUUUUGAACAAAGACCAACCAUGAGUCAGAAGGCUUGGGAGCUUCUAGAGCUGCUCCUAGAGUUGCUGAUCUGAAGCAUCCGAAGAAGACAAAGUGUGG